rnacentral:lncRNA from 1 species
UCUCUUUCAUUUUUGUUUGUUUGUUUAUAGUUGUAUUUACCUAGAUCCAAGAGGAAAAGGGUGACUUCCUCCAUUGGUAUAGUUUUACUGUGUAUUUUCUCCUGUAACUCAUUUAAAUUUUCCUUUAAGAACUAGGGAUUGGGACAUCCGGGUAAUCAUGGCUGCAAUCUAGACGCCACACGCUUCCUCUCCCCGGCACUGAACGAAAUAGACUACAUCAAAGGAGCAUAAAAAUCACCUUUGGAGGAACAGAAGGACUCCCUAGUACUCCCUAGUACCCCACAGAGGCAAAGAAUACUGGGAAACCUUUCAACUAUUGAAUUGGUAUGCAUGAAACAUGAAAUGAAAAAGUGCUUGUUUCCCACUAACUCAAAAGAGAGCUUUCUAAGACAUUAAUUUCCAUAGAGAGAUCAAAACUGAGAAGCAUCAGGGUCAACUUUUGGUUAAAAACUGAGGAACUCUGAAUAUGGAACAUAUUCUCACCACAGCAUAAAAAAGGAAAAAAAUAUUAUAUACAUAAUAAGGGUUUUGGCAAGCGAUGAUAUUCUGUCCAGUUACCCAAUAUAAUUCUCUAGUAGCUUCUCCAUUGUGAAGCUGGGACACAAAGGUAGUAUUAAAAAGCAGAAAACUUUUUCUGCUCUAUAAUUCAGCUUGUCAACAUUGCUCUGACCUUCUGCCUUUCAAGGUAAGUUUAUGGUAAGUGAGUCAAACAUCAUGUCCCCAUACCCUUGGAAGUACUAGACUUCCCCUUUAGUUUAUUUUUGUCAUUUUUUGCAUAUUUCCUUCACAAUUCCCCAUUAAGAACGUAGUUCUCUGCCAAAUCCUGAACAGGAGGAGGCACCAAAGACUAAGAUAGGUACUAGUGUUCUCUACCUCUCUUUCUGACCUUUGGUAUUGAUUACUAAAUAGAUAGUAAAACUAUACUAGUGGGAGACCUGAACCUACCACUAUCAAAUUUAGAAAAAUCAAAUCAAAAAAAUAAAUAAGAAAGAGGUAAAAGAGGUGAAUAAAAU